rnacentral:rRNA from 1 species
UACGGAGGAUGCAAGCGUUAUCCGGAAUGAUUGGGCGUAAAGCGUCCGCAGGUGGCUAUGUAAGUCUGCUGUUAAAGAGCAAAGCUUAACUUUGUAAAAGCAGUGGAAACUACAUAGCUAGAGUGCGUUCGGGGCAGAGGGAAUUCCAGGUGUAGCGGUGAAAUGCGUAGAUAUCUGGAGGAACACCGGUGGCGAAGGCGGCAUCCUGGACCAACACUGACGCUGAGGAGCGAAAGCCAGGGGAGCAAACGGG